GACGAACGCUGGCGGCGUGCUUAACACAUGCAAGUCGAACGGAAAGGCCCUGCUUUUGUGGGGUGCUCGAGUGGCGAACGGGUGAGUAACACGUGAGUAACCUGCCCUUGACUUUGGGAUAACUUCAGGAAACUGGGGCUAAUACCGGAUCGGAUCUCCUGCUGCAGGGUGGGGGGUGGAUAGUUUCGGCGGUUGGGGAUGGACGCGCGGCUUAUCAGCUUGUUGGUUGGGUAGUGGCUUACCAAGGCAGUGAAGGGUCGCCGGCAUGAGAGGGUGACCGGCCACAUUGGGACUGAGAUACGGACCAGACUCGUACGGGAGGCAGCAGUGGGGAAUAUUGCACAAUGGGCGGAAGCCUGAUGCAGCAACGCCGCGUGCGGGAUGACGGCCUUCGGGGUGUAAAACGCUUUCGCCUGUGACGAAGCGUGAGUGACGGUAAUGGGUAAAGAAGCACCGGCUAACUACGUG
rnacentral:rRNA from 1 species